rnacentral:rRNA from 1 species
GCGCACGCUGGCGGCAGGCCUCACCCCUGCAAGUCGCACGAACCUUUCGGGGUUAGUGGCGGACGGGUGAGUAACACGUGGGAACGUGCCUUUAGGUUCGGAAUAACUCAGGGAAACUUGUGCUAAUACCGAAUGUGCCCUUCGGGGGAAAGAUUUAUCGCCUUUAGAGCGGCCCGCGUCUGAUUAGCUAGUUGGUUGAGGUAAUGGCUCACCAAGGCGACGAUCAGUAGCUGGUCUGAGAGGAUGAUCAGCCACAUUGGGACUGAGACACGGCCCAAACUCCUACGGGAGGCAGCAGUGGGGAAUCUUGCGCAAUGGGCGAAAGCCUGACGCAGCCAUGCCGCGUGAAUGAUGAAGGUCUUAGGAUUGUAAAAUUCUUUCACCGGGGACGAUAAUGACGGUACCCGGAGAAGAAGCCCCGGCUAACUUCGUG